UUGUCUUUGUCGGGUCAUUGUAUGUUGUCACCCUGUGUAGCAGUUUGUUCUCGUGUCUUCAGCCCUACUCGCCGUGUCUCCCUGUUACCCUGCUCAUUUUUGGAUUCUGGUUUUCACCCUUUUGGAUUUCUGUUGGACAGCCUUUGUUUUUGGACUCAGUCAAUCAGCCACUCUGUGUUAUGCUUCACUUUUACAAGAGAAAAGAAUCUGAGGAUGAGGAGCAACCGAUGAUUUUGGCAAAGCCAGCCAACCAACCAAGAGCUCGUCCAAGGAUUGCAUGACCUCUUAACUCAAUGGAACAAAGCUUUAACACAUCCAGGCCAAAAGAGAUUUUCACAUUUUCAUCACUAUUUCCAAGUGUUCAUGUUUUCAGACG